UACGAAGGGGGCUAGCGUUGCUCGGAAUCACUGGGCGUAAAGCGCACGUAGGCGGAUUGCUAAGUCAGGGGUGAAAUCCUGGAGCUCAACUCCAGAACUGCCUUUGAUACUGGCAAGCUUGGAGUCCGGGAGAGGUGAGUGGAACUGCGAGUGUAGAGGUGAAAUUCGUAGAUAUUCGCAAGAACACCAGUGGCGAAGGCGGCUCACUGGCCCGGUACUGACGCUGAGGUGCGAAAGCGUGGGGAGCGAACAGG
rnacentral:rRNA from 1 species